GAAAAACAACAGAUAUUAGAAAUAACACUUUUAAAGCAUCUUUUAAAUUUCUAUGCCCCUUUCAGACAACCUUCCUCCCUCCCCCCUCCCCCACCCUCCUUGAUGCAGUGAUUGACAACAAGGGAGGCCCCUCUCAGAGGAGUACUAAGGAGCGUAUUUGUUUGGAAUUUAGAGGGUUGACCUAGGAGUGGUAGAACUGCUUAUCUUCAUUCCUUCAGAAAACUCAAUAAACCAUUCUUGUCUGCUCCCUGAGAAAAUUUCAGGUUGUGUGACAGUGGGAGAAAGAAAUCCUCAAUUUAUGGGCACAGUAAUAUAAUUAUGUGUGGCUUAACUAAGCUACUAGCAAGUAUGUAGUACAGGGUUAAAAGCAAAAUAGCCAGGUAGGUAACCUGGCAAACCACAAAGUAAAAGAACUUCAUUUGGCUGUGUUACAGCUUUGUGGGAUCGUUCUUCUUAUUAAUCAGUCUGUCCUUUUCCUGUGAAAGGUAGAUAUACUUUAACCAGGCAUCAUCUAGCAGCCACAGCGAGAUGUGAAGGGAAUGUCAGGUGGUGGAGCUUGCCCAGGUUCAAACAUCAGUUCAAGAGCAGACGCAGGUUCCUUGGACUUCGUGUGGAAAGGAUUCUCUCUCCUUACUAAGAUGAAAGAGGAUCGAGAAUAGAUGAGGCUUUGUGUAUCCUGAGUGCUCACGGACAACACACAGAAGCAUUUGUUUCAUAGGCAGCCUUCACUGGGGAAAAGUUGUCAGUUUCUCUGCAGAUAUGCCCGUAUGGGAUUAUACACCAAGUAAAAGGCAACGCCUGCUUCUCAAGGUAACUAAAAAAUAGGCGCUUCUGGCUGAGGAGGUCUUCUCAUGUUUGCAGCCCAGAAGCCCUUCUCGCUGUGAUUUCCCAGGAGCAGCUGCUGAAACGUUUGUGUGUGUGCGCAACGGCCCAUCUUCCCCUCAUCUGCGCUGCCACAACUUGGAGCCUCACGAGCUGGGAUAACCACAGUGCUGACAAGCAUUCAGACAGCGCGGGAUCUCGUGACUUGCUCCGCACCAAGAGGGCUGUUAUGAACGUGAAGACGGCUUGAAGCCUUCCUCUCCAGCAAUAAACUACAUUCCAAACAACGCGUUCCGUCUCGGUUCUCUGUAACUUUUAGGGGGAGCCGAGCGGCGCGCGCACAGCGGGGCGGGGCGGGAAGCGCAGGGCCCGCC